CACACACACACACACACACACACAUUAUACAUAAAAUACCACCAGUCCAACCAACCCUACAAAGCUGAAUAUCAAUGAGAUUAGAACAUUUUGAAAUAGCAUUAACUAAUAGCAAACACACACACACACACACACACACACACACACACACUCAGCGUAUGCACAAAUUCACACCCAUACACACGCCACACCAAUGCACACGUGAUCAUAAACACAUUGGCAGACAGCAUCUGACAGACACCAAGGACCGGCCCCAGGCUCCAGGCCCCAGGCUCCAGGCUCCAGGCCCCAGGCUCCACGCUCCAGGCUGAGGCAGUGCUCUCACUGAGAAUCAGAAAGAAAACAAAAAAAACCUUUAAAACCUUCAUGGAAAGAAGCAGUGGAGUCCUAUGGGGAAUCCAGCACUCACACUCACACACACACACACACACACACACACACACACACACACACACACACACACACACACAGAGAGAAGAGUGUGUGCGAGGCCUGGAGAGACCUGGUGCGUUGACUGAAAUCGCAGUGGCUGAAUCUCACAUGCGCCCACAUGCCCAGACACCCCUGCACAUGCACCCCAACAGCCCACAAACUACAGGCCAUGCGCCCCUGCUCCCCGAUCACUCUCCCCGAUCACUCCCCCUGCUCCCCGAUCACUCCCCCUACUCCACGAUCACUCCCCCUGCUCCCCGAUCACUCCCCCUACUCCCCGAUCACCCCCCUGCUCGGUUCUUUCUCCGCCCGUCGCUAUAGACUUUAACGGGACGUUCUUUAGCAAAUGCCUCAAACCAUCUCCUGCUGGACGUGCCCAGUGUGUCCUGUGAACCGACGCCUGACUGCGGACUCACACAGAUCCUUCUCUCCGUGUAUUACUCCAUGUUCAGAGCAUUGUUUGUUUGUUUGUUUGUUUGUUUGUUUGUUUAAGCAUCCUGUGUCGUUUUAGAGCUCCGCGCUCCCUUGUUCACUCUCAUCAUUUCAGCUUUGACGUUUUUGUUUACAGCAUGUUGCAAAUGAAAUGUAUUGUUAUGAAAACCAUAAAAGUAGUCAAGUUGCAUUUUAGAUGUUUAAUUGCACUUCAUAUAACAUUGCAGGCUUUAUUUCAGUGCUUCCCUCCUCUCCUCUCCAGUGCUCUCGGGCUCUGGCUCAGAUCUGGUCUAGGGUCCACUUCUGUCUGUCGGGGUCCAACCAUCGUCCCCAUAUUGUUUCUUGGAUAUGCAUUGGUAGAGUUUGAUGCAUUUGUUCUUACCUCAAAAGUACUCUUGUUUUUCAUUGCGUUCAGCUCACCAGGGCUUUAACAGCACAAGACGUUUGCUUUUUAAUGAAGUGCUUGUGGUAAGGAAAAACAAUAAUAAUAAUAACAACAAAAAAACGUUACACUAUAUUAUUUGUUGCAUACUUUCUUAUGUGCAUAAAUAUCAGUGUAUGUAGAGGCUCCGAGCCUUUGAGAUGUAUAUAGAAUAUUACAGAUAUUUAGCGUUUGGUUUUGUUGAUUUUUCAGUUUCAUUAUUCAACUUUUAAAGAAAGAGGAUAUUUUGUACAGUGGGUGUAACCUGUGUUGAGUUUCGUUUGCGCCUGUAUUAGAGGAGGGAGUCCCCAAGAUAGUAGCGGACUCUGGUGUGGCUCUGGCUCUGGCUCCAACCGGGCCUCGGUGGGGGGUCAGAACCGGGCCGAUCUGUGCCAGAGGUGCUCGCUGUGUAGGCAAUAAGCUCCAGGUGUACGUUGUGGUGCGGCUUCUUUAGAUGCAUCAAGGUCUAUGGUAUCUCUGGUAUCUAUGGUAUCUAUGGUAUCUAUGGUGUCUAUGGUACAGCUGUCAGUAGAUCCCCUCUGCUGAUCAUACACCUCCCCGCUAGGAGCAGUAUCUAUGGUAUCUAUGGUAUCUAUGGUAUCUCUGGUAUCUAUGGUACGGCUGUGAGUAGAUCCCCUCUGCUGAUCGUACACCUUCCCCGCUAGGAGCAGCAGUAGUGCAGGUGCUGUGCUGUGUGGCCGCCGUCAGGAUCUCCAUCUCAACAACAUCAGCACAUAUCUGCAGUCACAGUGUUGAGUUUAGAUUGUGUGUGUGUGAGUGUGUGUGUGUGUGUGUGUGUGUGUGUGUGUGUGUGUGAGUGUCUCUGUGUGUGUGUGUGUGUGUGUGUGUGUGUGUGUGUGUGUGUGUGUGUGUGUGAGAGUGUGUGUGUGUCUCUGUGUGUGUGUGUGUGAGAGAAAGUCAUUAUGUCAUUAUUCCAUUAUCCCUAUUUAAAGCUUGUUUUCUUGCUUUUUUUACAAUGCAUUUUUCCAACUUGGCAUUUGUACAGAAUUAUUUAUACUUUGCUUUUAAAUUGUGGAAAUCGGUUACAGUUAUUUAUUUAACGUUAUGUUUCUGUUUUGUCCCAAUGCUUUAAAAAAAAAAAAAAGAAGAAGAAAUGUGUUAAAUAGAAAGCAUUGGCUGCACAAGGAAUCCACACUGAUUUCCUGCUGCAGCAGAGAGAGAGAGAGUGGGUUUACACAAACACAUCUAAUCAUCUAACCGCUCGUUCAGUCCCAAACCACUAACUUAUCAGCAGGUUCUGUUAUUGUUCAUUAUGUUUUACCAAACUUCAAUGGAUUUGUCCAUGAGGAUAUAUAUAUAUUUUUUUUUUGUACAUAAUUCUUAUCUCCGCCAUAUGAAUCUCUUUGAACGGCAAUAGCACUGCAUAUACAUAAGACUUCAUGACUUUGGAGCUGAGGGUUUCAUAUUCGCCCCGCGGCUUUACCGGAAACCCUCUUUGUUCUUUGACAUGCAUGGAUGUGGAAGAAGAUAAAUGCUUUUAACAUUUUGUACCAUCCCAUACGAAGCCUUUUUGUAUGUGUGUCUCAAAAGUAACAUUUGCAGGAUUGCUUUGUGUAAAUACAUCAGAACUUAAAAGAAAAACAAAAAAAAACAAAAAACACUAUAUGAAGAGUUGUUUGUGUUUAAGAAAAAAAAAUGUGUCUGUGCAAUUCAUGUACAAUUGCAGCUAGAACUAUUAAAGUUUUAUUUAGCUAUUUUAAUAUUCUACUUCUUGGCUCAUUUAUUUCCCUUCCCACAAUUUGUGCCU
ensembl:lncRNA